GGAUGUCCUGUGGUCUCCCACCUGAAUCUGAGGAUGUUGUCACAAAAGGCUGCUGAGCCCAAAUGGCACAUUGGGCACAGAGAUGCACAGGACGCUGGGCUUUGCUGCUCCCCGGGGUUUCUCUUCCCCCUCCCCUGGGUGCCUUUGGGUGCAGGAAGGCACUACCAGGAGCUUUGCCUCCAGAAAAGGGUGAGGAGAAUGGGCCCAAAGCAUCUCCCUCCACAGCGGUGCUGUUGCCCUUGAAGGCAGCAGGGCGAGCACAGCAUGACUUCGGUGGUGGAAAAUGAGCAAUGUGCAAGUGCAUCAACACAGGGCACUGAGAAAGCAGCAAAUGUUUUCAUGCAAUGAUCUGUCUGAUGAUUUGACAAAUCGUUUCCUUCAGUGAAAAAGUUUCCAGUUUGAUGACGACAAUGCCCAGACUGAAUGCCAGGCCAGGAAGGCAGGUGACAGCAGUGGAAAACCAGCUACAGUUACACUAGGAGCUGCCAUCAGUGGUACCUGGGAUACAGAGACCCUAUGAGGAAAUGAUCUCUCCGUGUGCUGAACCUGUUUGGAAGUGUAUGGAAAAUAAACAGCUUUGGUCAUGCCAGGUUUAGUUGGGCAUGCUUUCCCUUUCAA